UUGACAGCAUGAAACAGCUAAAGUUCUACGUUUAUAGAAAAAGUACAGCAUGGUCACCAGCUGUGCAAACUUUCCCACAUAGCCCCACCAAUAUGUUUCAACCCUGCCCUAGUGGUACCACCUCAGGGGUGAGAGGAUAGUUUAAUAUUCAUAUCCAUUCUAUCCUUUGUGCAU
ensembl:misc_RNA